GCCUGGGUGGCUCAGUUGGUUGAGCAUCUGACUUAGGCUCAGGUCAUGAUCUCGCAGUUUGUGAGUUCAAGCCCCACAUCGGGCU
rnacentral:tRNA from 1 species